rnacentral:rRNA from 1 species
CCAGACUCCUACGAGAGGCAGCAGUGAGGAAUAUUGGUCAAUGGCCGGAAGGCUGAACCAGCCAAGUCGCGUGAGGGAAUAAGGCCCUAUGGGUCGUAAACCUCUUUUGUCAGGGAGCAAAGGUGUCCACGUGUGGACGAGAGGAGAGUACCUGAAGAAAAAGCAUCGGCUAACUCCGUGCCAGCAGCCGCGGUAAUACGGAGGAUGCGAGCGUUAUCCGGAUUUAUUGGGUUUAAAGGGUGCGCAGGCGGAAUGUCAAGUCAGCGGUAAAAUUUCGGGGCUCAACCCCGUCGUGCCGUUGAAACUGUCGGACUAGAGACGGCGAGAAGUACGCGGAAUGCGCGGUGUAGCGGUGAAAUGCAUAGAUAUCGCGCAGAACUCCGAUUGCGAAGGCAGCGUACCGGCGCCGGACUGACGCUGAGGCACGAAAGCGUGGGUAUCGAACAGGAUUAGAUACCCGAGUA